UAACACAUGCAAGAAAAACGGUAACAGGAAGAAGCUUGCUUCUUUGCUGACGAUUGCCCGACGGGUGAGUAAUGUCUGGGAAACUGCCUGAUGGAGGGGGAUAACUACUGGAAACGGUAGCUAAUACCGCAUAACGUCGCAAGACCAAAGAGGGGGACCUUCGGGCCUCUUGCCAUCGGAUGUGCCCAGAUGGGAUUAGCUAGUAGGUGGGGUAACGGCUCACCUAGGCGACGAUCCCUAGCUGGUCUGAGAGGAUGACCAGCCACACUGGAACUGAGACACGGUCCAGACUCCUACGGGAGGCAGCAGUGGG
rnacentral:sRNA from 1 species